rnacentral:rRNA from 1 species
GAUAAACGCUGGCGGCGUGCCUUACGCAUGCAAGUCGAACGAAGCUCCACCCUUCGGGGUGGAUGACUGAGUGGCAAACGGCUGAGUAAUGUACAGGUGACCUACCCCGAGGUGGGGAACAACCCGUCGAAAGGCGAGCUAAUACCGCAUACGCCCACUGGUUCAGCCCGGUGGGGAAAGCUCCGGCGCCUUGGGAGGGGCCUGUAUCCGAUUAGCUAGUUGGUGAGGUAACGGGCUCACCAAGGCAACCAUCGGUAGCUGGUCUGAGAGGAUGAUCAGCCAGACUGGGACUGAGACACGGCCCAGACUCCUACGGGAGGCAGCAGCGAGGAAUCUUGCACAAUGGGCGAAAGCCUGAUGCAGCAACGCCGCGUGGGUGACGAAGGCCUUCGGGUCGUAAAUCCCUUUUGCCGGGGAAGAAGUUCUGACGGUACCCGGCGAAUAAGCCACGGCUAACUACGUG